rnacentral:rRNA from 1 species
AGAGUUUGAUCAUGGCUCAGAUUGAACGCUGGCGGCAGGCCUAACACAUGCAAGUCGAGCGGUAGCACAGAGAGCUUGCUCUCGGGUGACGAGCGGCGGACGGGUGAGUAAUGUCUGGGAAACUGCCUGAUGGAGGGGGAUAACUACUGGAAACGGUAGCUAAUACCGCAUAAUGUCGCAAGACCAAAGUGGGGGACCUUCGGGCCUCAUGCCAUCAGAUGUGCCCAGAUGGGAUUAGCUAGUAGGUGGGGUAACGGCUCACCUAGGCGACGAUCCCUAGCUGGUCUGAGAGGAUGACCAGCCACACUGGAACUGAGACACGGUCCAGACUCCUACGGGAGGCAGCAGUGGGGAAUAUUGCACAAUGGGCGCAAGCCUGAUGCAGCCAUGCCGCGUGUGUGAAGAAGGCCUUCGGGUUGUAAAGCACUUUCAGCGGGGAGGAAGGCGAUAAGGUUAAUAACCUCAUCGAUUGACGUUACCCGCAGAAGAAGCACCGGCUAACUCCGUGCCAGCAGCCGCGGUAAUACGGAGGGUGCAAGCGUUAAUCGGAAUUACUGGGCGUAAAGCGCACGCAGGCGGUCUGUCAAGUCGGAUGUGAAAUCCCCGGGCUCAACCUGGGAACUGCAUUCGAAACUGGCAGGCUAGAGUCUUGUAGAGGGGGGUAGAAUUCCAGGUGUAGCGGUGAAAUGCGUAGAGAUCUGGAGGAAUACCGGUGGCGAAGGCGGCCCCCUGGACAAAGACUGACGCUCAGGUGCGAAAGCGUGGGGAGCAAACAGGAUUAGAUACCCUGGUAGUCCACGCCGUAAACGAUGUCGAUUUGGAGGUUGUGCCCUUGAGGCGUGGCUUCCGGAGCUAACGCGUUAAAUCGACCGCCUGGGGAGUACGGCCGCAAGGUUAAAACUCAAAUGAAUUGACGGGGGCCCGCACAAGCGGUGGAGCAUGUGGUUUAAUUCGAUGCAACGCGAAGAACCUUACCUGGUCUUGACAUCCACAGAACUUNUUGGUGCCUUCGGGAACUGUGAGACAGGUGCUGCAUGGCUGUCGUCAGCUCGUGUUGUGAAAUGUUGGGUUAAGUCCCGCAACGAGCGCAACCCUUAUCCUUUGUUGCCAGCGGUCCGGCCGGGAACUCAAAGGAGACUGCCAGUGAUAAACUGGAGGAAGGUGGGGAUGACGUCAAGUCAUCAUGGCCCUUACGACCAGGGCUACACACGUGCUACAAUGGCAUAUACAAAGAGAAGCGACCUCGCGAGAGCAAGCGGACCUCAUAAAGUAUGUCGUAGUCCGGAUUGGAGUCUGCAACUCGACUCCAUGAAGUCGGAAUCGCUAGUAAUCGUAGAUCAGAAUGCUACGGUGAAUACGUUCCCGGGCCUUGUACACACCGCCCGUCACACCAUGGGAGUGGGUUGCAAAAGAAGUAGGUAGCUUAACCUUCGGGAGGGCGCUUACCACUUUGUGAUUCAUGACUGGGGUGAAGUCGUAACAAGGUAACCGUAGGGGAACCUGCGGUUG